CUAACUACGUGGCCAGCAGCCGCCGUAAUACGUAGGGUGGCGAGGCGUUAAUCGGAAUUACUGGGCGUAAAGCGUGCGCAGGCGGUUUAGUAAGACAGGCGUGAAAUCCCCGGGCUCAACCCUGGGAACUGCGCUUGUGACUGCUAAGCUAGAGUACGGCAGAGGGGGGUGGAAUUCCACGUGUAGCAGUGAAAUGCGUAGAGAUGUGGAGGAACACCGAUGGCGAAGGCAGCCCCCUGGGCCGAUACUGACGCUCAUGCACGAAAGCGUGGGUAGCAAACAGGAUUAGAUACCCUGGUAGUCCACGCCCUAAACGAUGUCAACUAGGUGUUGGGAGGGUAAAACCUUUUAGUACCGGAGCUAACGCGUGAAGUUGACCGCCUGGGGAGUACGGCCGCAAGGUUAAAACUCAAAGGAAUUGACGGGGACCCGCACAAGCGGUGGAUGAUGUGGAUUAAUUCGAUGCAACGCGAAAAACCUUACCUACCCUUGACAUGUCCAGAAGCUCUUAGAGAUUUGAGUGUGCCCGAAAGGGAGCUGGAACACAGGUGCUGCAUGGCUGUCGUCAGCUCGUGUCGUGAGAUGUUGGGUUAAGUCCCGCAACGAGCGCAACCCUUGUCGUUAAUUGCCAUCAUUUAGUUGGGCACUUUAACGAGACUGCCGGUGACAAACCGGAGGAAGGUGGGGAUGACGUCAAGUCCUCAUGGCCCUUAUGGGUAGGGCUUCACACGUCAUACAAUGGUCGGUACAGAGGGUUGCCAAGCCGCGAGGUGGAGCCAAUCCCAGAAAGCCGAUCGUAGUCCGGAUUGCAGGCUGCAACUCGCCUGCAUGAAGUCGGAAUCGCUAGUAAUCGCGGAUCAGCAUGUCGCGGUGAAUACGUUCCCGGGUCUUGUACACACCGCCCGUCACACCAUGGGAGCGGGUUCCGCCAGAAGUAGGUAGCCUAACCGCAAGGGGGGCGCUUACCACGGCGGGGUUCGUGACUGGGGUGAAGUCGUAACAAGGUAACCAAU
rnacentral:rRNA from 1 species